CACCAAAGAUGGAUUAUGCAUUCAAUAACAGAACUAAAGAUAUUGUUGAGCCGUUAAUCCAACAAAGGAAUCAUCAAAAUGAUAAUGACUUUUCACCUAUAUCAGAAGUUCCUUUGCAGAUUAAAGACUCACCCAUGAGACAAGUUAGUUGUGUAGUCCCAA